rnacentral:tRNA from 2 species
GGAGGAAUACCCAAGUCCGGUUGAAGGGGCCAGUCUUGAAAACUGGAAGGUCUACAAAGACGCGGGGGUUCAAAUCCCUCUUCCUCCGCCA